UCAUCACUUGGUUUGACACGGCUUGUCCUCUUGUCCCGUUUCCCAGAAGCGAUCUCGUGUUCAUUCCCUUCCUUUUGUUCCAGCAUGACGCUAUCAGAGGAAGAAAUGUUACUGCCCAGGCUCUUUUCCCACAUGCGGAUCGGAUCCGGAACACAGGAUCCGAUUUCUUUAUCCAUCCCGCCGAUGUCGUGCUAUAGUGUGACGAAGAUAGGUGGACGGUUGAGAUUAUGGUACAAGAUGAGAUCAGACGGCUUUCUGCGGUUGCGAUAUAUAUCACAGCGUUUGCGUUCGUAUGUGAGGAGGGCGAGAGAGAGGGCGCGGCGGCUCUGGAAGCGGCGGAUGGAUCUGUGAGGAGAUGAGAAACCAAGCGAAUUCUGAUAUCCGUGAUGCAUUCCACGAUAGUUUUCAAUCUGAGAUCCGCAAUCCGUUGCUCGAGCUGUGCGCCCUCCUCUCCUCUCUUCGGCCUGGUGAUGGAACUUUUGAGUAUUCUCUCUGAAGGCCGCUCCUUGUUCGCCUAUUUCUCUCCUAUGAGUUGUCGAGCUCCGGUCAUGUUUCUGAUGCCUGGAAACCCUAGUUUUUUCUUCUAUUGUUAUAUCUCGUUUUCUCGUAUCUUGCUUAUUGCUCUUUUUUUGUGGUUCGAACUAGAGAUUGCAUUAUGUUGGAGAUUAAUUUGAACCUUCUUUUGGUCUUUGUUGUCUGAAAAAACUAGUUAGUUACUUGCAGAGUCUAGAAGUGACUCCGAGAUUGUAAUCGGUCGUCACUACCCCAAAUUUUGUGUUAUUUCUUGGAUUUUUCCCCAUUUUGUACGGUUCUCUUCUUAUUGUUGGAUUUAAAGUUCUAUUUGUUUGUAUUAUUCUUAAUGUUUCAGAGUUUUGGUGGCUUUAUACGUCCUCUUUUCACAGCUAUACGAUAUGUAGAUUCUAUUCUUAAUGUUUGAAAGUGUUGUUGGCUUUGAUUUUGAUACUCUGUGCUUUCUUUUGGGUUUAAAAGUCCAAGUUUUUUACUGAGAUUUAAAUGAGAAAUCAAAGUUCGUGAAACAAUAAAUGGAUUUUUGCUAGACAUCAUGGAAAAAGCUGCUGUACAGAUUCAUUUUUUCUUGCUUUACUUUCCAUGAAGUGCCUAACAAAUGGUGGAAGUAUCUUCAGAUGUCCCUAUAUGAGACUUAGUGAAACACAAGUGGAUAUGGAAUACUUUUGUAGGGAGCUGCAAAUUUGACUUGGGUCUUUGCAUGCCUUGUGAUUUGGAAAGUUAUGGCAUAUGCUGUUUCUGCUACUAAUACCACUAGCUACUGCUGUAUUAUUUUGACCAAAACAUGGUUAUCCAACAGUUAAAGAAUUUUUAUGUCUCAAAUAUCUGUUAAUUUUAAUAUAAAUUACUUCUUUGUUUUAAUGUCACCAGAAGACCAUAAUCUGUACAUAUGCUCACUAUUCUAUGUUAAUCCUGUCCUUAAGAAUAUAGAUAUGUCAUUCCUUCUGAUAAAGAAAUCAUUUUUAGUUAUGCUUUCAUAUGUAUUGGGGUCAAACUUUGAAAUGCUGUGCCUAUGAAAUGCGAAGCCCAAGAUUCGGUGAUUUUUAGAAUUGUGAUGCUACUCAGCACUUUUUUUCGGUUAUAUUGAUGCCUCUAUAGCAGACACUUGCUUUCAGUGGCAUAUGGUAGCACCAGCGCCCAUGGACAUGCAAGUUUAUAGCUUUCUAGGUGCCAGAGAUUUUGUGAAUAUGGUCGUGAUGCUUGAAUUUGAGUACCUUCUGGUCAAUGACAUUUAUGUAUGUGGUUCUAUUUGCUUAUGACAUAUCUAGUAUAUAGUUCUAUUUGUGUUGUUUGGCUGAUCUUGCAAAGCUACUUUCAUCCUGUGUGGAAGUGGUAGCAUUUUUAGUUUAUAGUAAUCUCAAGAUCAGUGCAGGUUUUUCAACUUGGCGAAUAUGUUCUUCAUUAGUUCUUAUACUUCCUUUUUGUUUACACUUUUUUUUCUUGUUUAAGAUUUUGUUGAUUUACCAGCAAAAAGCUUGCCCGAGUUCAUUCAUCAACGACUCUUUUAUAUUACUUAACUUUUGAAGUGCCUAGCCUUAAUAUUAGAGAUGCACCCAAUUUAUGAUUCAUACCUUUGAGCAUGAUAUAUAGCUCAUUUAGAUGCUAUUCAACUAAUGCAACAUGGUGAUCAGGUGUGGUGCACCUGUUGAUUUUUCAUGGCUGCAACAUGCUAUGACUUGAGAAAAAGGAAAACUAGGAAUCUAUGUGCUUACAAGUGAAAUGUGAUGCAAAUUGCUAUACAACCUUUCUUUUUUUUCCUCAGUCGCAACUUGAUGCAUAAGACCUUGAGCAAUAGACCUGUAUAACUCAAUUUUAAGAAUGAUAUUUUCAAUUGUAAGAAAUCAUACAUCAAGAAAAUGGUGGGACUUUCAACCAUGGUCCCUCUUGUAACGACAGUGCAGUAGUAGUUGGCUGAAUCCAUUGAGAGUCAAGCCGCCAUCGGAUGUCAGACCAUAUAGAUUGAUUUUGGCAAUAUUUCUCUCUUUUAUAUUUGGUGAUGCUGGAUUGGGCCAUGCAGAUUUCCAAAACAAGGUUUAAAACCUUGAUUUGAAAUGGUUCUGUAAGAUAGAAGUUUGUGUUGUUUGCAUUGCAGAAAAUGCCCCGGCAAUAUCCUCCUGCAUCUCAUUGUGUCUAGUAGGCCUGAUCAUAUGUUUUGAAUAGCUCAUAUUUUAUGGCACUUGAUAUGAUGUCUGUAAUGGAUGGUUAAAUCGAGGAUAACCGGGAAAAGUAUGUCUAAAAGUCAACACUGUGGGGCUGAUCCAGGAAAAGCAAACGAUAAGUUUUGUAUUCUGUUGUAGCUGUGAAAAGUGGAUGCGGCUGAGACCAAUUAGGUUGGCGUUGCUGUGCCGAUUGCAGUCGACAUCAAGAGGGAGUAGCAUCUACCAGAAAUCUUUGUCUCUAUUGGGCAAAGAUGGAUUCACAGCGUGCCUUUGUUCCCCUACAUGCAUUACAGGACUACAGGAGAUGAUGAAGACGACUCGAGGCAGGCUGUGCUUCUGCCGAGCCCGCAAGGGGGCACCGUCGCCUCCAUUUCAGAAAUCGUGUUCUUGCUCAACUGUUUCAUUUGUCCUUCCAAUUGGGUAUAUGAUCUGUAAAUGAUGGCUAUCUGUGACCAAGCAGUUGCCAUAAUUGCUCUAAUCAUGGAGCUCAAGACAAUCGCGUCGUGGAAUCCACUUCCAAAUAAUUCGACAAGAGAAUACAUGUUCAUUACCAUUUAUUUUUGUUUUCUAUUAUUUUGUUCAGUAACAUUGUUCGAAUGAUAAAUGAAAUGAUGAAAAGCUAAAGUUGAACGCAUCAAAUCAUCCACAGGGUCCGGAGGAACUCUCAGAUCAAAUUUGGCAGCGGCCAACACCCGACCCAUGAGACAAAUCACCUGUCAUCCCGGUACGAGACAAGCACUCCGCUGCGCCAACCACAAUAAAAGCAGGGAGACCGAGAUGAGAAAAGACAGAGAGAGAGAGAGAGAGAGAGAGGAAUCUCAUCGUCGCGGACGGUGACAACAUGAUAUGAGAGGAGGUGGGGAGGUCAGAGGGGGCACUGUCCCUCCCCACGUGUCUGGCGUCGUACGGGUCUGAUCGGAGAUGUACGCCCGCCUCCCGGUGGCUUUGAUGGGCGCGCAGCAGCGGUGGCGAAGCCUGUACGUAGCAUACGGCGUCCACCUCCGCUUGAUGCACACCACCUGUUCGCUCCGUGACCGCGCAGAAACCGGCACCAAUCGAUGCCCCGUUACUGUUGUCAUUAUAGAUCGCCUAUUGCACCCACCGGCGUUGUGAUUGGACGCAACAUGCGGUCCCACAUGGAGCCC